GUAACUCUGGAGAAUCCCUUAAAUGGGUGCCGAAGGUGUAAGGCUCGAACGUAUCGCGCUAAUCUCUCAGGCAAAAGGACAGAGAU
rnacentral:ncRNA from 1 species